rnacentral:rRNA from 2 species
CUUGCUCUUGAUGACGAGUGGCGCACGGGUGAGUAACGCGUAUGCAAUCUACCUAUAACUGAGGAAUAGCCCAGAGAAAUUUGGAUUAAUACCUCAUAAUAUUAUUAUUUGGCAUCAUUUAAUAAUUAAAACUCCGGUGGUUAUAGAUGAGCAUGCGUUCUAUUAGCUAGUUGGUGAGGUAAGAGCUCACCAAGGCUACGAUAGAUAGGGGGCCUGAAAGGGUGAUCCCCCACACUGGUACUGAGACACGGACCAGACUCC